GCGGGGCUAUCAGGGUACAAUAAGUAAGUGGUCUAGCACCCAACAAGCACGUCACCCAGGCAAUGAAACCUGCGCUUUUCGACCGUUUCCGUUCGAAAAUAAGACCCUUUUUAUAAUCGAAAUUUGACUACUAAAACCACCUGGAAUCGGUCCAGAAUUGAUGUUAAACUGUUCCUAAGGCUUUAUACUAUUUUUCCAUGUACAAAUCAUAAGGUAAAAACCUUUUUUUAUACCCCAAAACAUCGUCUGAAAAUGGUCAAUUUUGACGUCUACGGGCGAUUUUAAUGCCCACUUUUACCGCAGUUUUGAUGACAUCAGUGACAUGACGUCAACGUGAAUGAAUCGGCUCGGUCUUGCUUCUUAUUUUCAUUGAUAAAAUACUUAAAUUAGCUCAGAAUUUCCCGAAAUCGGUAUGGAAUAAUUCUAGAGACUCUGGAGAAUCCGAUUAUGUGCAUAUCUUUUCCCAAGUCGCCUUCCUUUAGCUGUGAUCAUUCGACAAAGUUGUAAAGUUUUAGAAUUUACCGUGUUUUCAUGCGACGGAAGGACUCAUACAUGGCAUUUUGGGUGCGGGAGUGAAAGUUUAAUUACUAUUUAUUUUAACACAAAAUCUAACUGUGGACUGUGCAUCAUUGUUAUUAUUUGAAUUGUGAAGAAAACGCAAGCGUUAAAGGUAGGCCUUAAUGUAAUAUGAGGAGCUUCAAUGACAACCUAACCUCUACAUGUAUUAUGUAAAUAAAUAACAAGACCAAAAAGGAGAAAAUAUUGAACUUAUUAGUUAGAAUAAGGUCCAAAAUGUGAAAGAUUGGCAAAUUUCCGCUUAACUAAACGCUGUAAAUGUUAUAUUACACCUUGCAUAUAAGCAUAUAAUCAGUUUUCACCCAAGAGGUGUGUAACCUUAAAAGAGUAAGGAAAUUCAACUACAGUUAUGUGUCCCUAGUCAAAUAUGAAUAACAAAUAGAUAUCUGUAUGGACUAACAAUUAACGCCCAUGCAAGGGUAUCUUAAUGGUUUUGCUCAUGACUGGCAGCAGGCCACUUAGUCUGAAUGCUCAGGUCAGCGAGAUGCCAGGCUUUAAAACAUCUAAGAGGAUAAUCGAAGCAGUAGAUAGCAUCCAGUUGUGGCACUAUCGAAGGGGAGGAAUGCAGAUUCUGGCAGCUAGAUGUUUCAAGUGUUGAGUUGAUGAUAAGGUGGAAGAUGGUGGUGAAAAGAAGCAGAAAAAGCCAGUCCAAAACUGGAGAGACUUUUUUUUAUCUUAUUGUUGUUGUUCUAUAUUCUAUAUUAUUUAGAUACCAAAGAUAGUUUCCUUACAGAGAAGUAUUUGUAUAUCAUAUAGUUUAGUACAUAUUAAACAUCAUAUUAGUGAUUACUCCACACACAAAAUUGUACAAUUUUCAUUUUACGAGAAAUAGAGAACAUAUAUAUACAAAUUUUUAUAGGAUACACAAGGUUAAGUGUUGGGUUUCCUUCUUUGCUCCCAAACUCUAUAAUGCUCUCCCUGCUACCAUUAAACUGUUACCUACCAAGUUUUUUACUGCAAUAUAAAUUUACUAUAAAACAAUAUCUAUUGAAAAAAUGUUUUUUCUCAAUACAAGAAUUUCUAAAUGAUGAUUUCUCAUAUAUGUAAUUAUAAUAUAAAACUUUUAGGCUUUAAAUCCUUUGAUUAAUAAUAAUAUUAAGAAGUGUAAAGAUUUUCUCUGUGACAUAUGUGAGCACCUUUGUGUAUAUGGCAUUAACAAAUUAUGUUUAUGUUUAAAUUAGGUGUAAGAACAGCUGCUUUUGUAAAAUGUCUCUUUUCUAUCACAUAAAGUGAUAUGUACUUACAUAAGUUCAUGAAAUAAAGAUGAUUUUACUUAAUUA
rnacentral:lncRNA from 1 species